rnacentral:lncRNA from 1 species
CUCUAUUUUCAGACUUGGGCAAACUCUACUCCUCAAUUUGUGGAAAAAUCUCAGUAUUGAUCUAUGCAUGGCCAGUGCAAAGGCUUUUAUAUGGACCAACCCCAGUCAGAAAGCAGGCACUUGGAAACCUCGUGUCUGUGAAGAACAAGGGGUGGAACCUCUGAAAUCCUCCCCUUUGAGAUUUCCCAUGCAUUCACACAUCCUUCUGUGUGCCUUGAAAAUGUAAGAAACAGAUGUGGGCAAGAGGCAGCCAGAAGACUCCGGCACAGGCCCUGCAACCUAUCUGCUCACAUCCUGCUUGGGAGACAUGUCAGCGAUAAACUCCAGGAGUAGUCACGAGGGCUGACAGGGGUUCCUGCCCGGCUCUGCAUCCAACAGCCUGGUGGAGCCUAGGCUAAGUCUACAAAAAUACGGAGCUCAGAGCUCCUACCUAGAUUUCUUUGCUUUAUUCAGGCAGAAUUGACAAAUUAAAAGGUAUGUAUUUAAGGAACACUCCGCAGGGUCCCGAGUAGGCAGUUGUGGUCCACAGGCCACUGGCAAACAGAGGCAGAGCCACAGAGGGGCUGCUCGUCCCCAAAUGUCUCUCCAGCCGCUCUGAAGCUGCUGCGGGCUGCUGUGCUGGUGAUGGCUGAGAUCAUGAGAUGAGCCCCGGGGGUCCCUGGGCAUCCCUGGGAGGUCCUGGAGGUCCAUGGAGAAGGUGGAACACUGGACUAAAGAGACAGGCUGAGGAAGCCCUCAAGUCACCCCUGAUGGAGGCCAGACCUUGAAUGUUACAAUCCCUCUGCUUAUCGACCCUUAAUAAAAAUCUGAGCAGGUCUUCUCUGCAGGACACAGGAGGCUUUCUGGAAAAAAAAACAUGGAAAAGAAGUCCGGAAGUGCUCGACCAAGAGAUCGCGAGAUGGGAGCAGAGAGUACAGGAAAGGAAGGAGGAGAAAGAAAGGCUGGAAACCUUUGAAUGCACAAAAAAAACAGGUCAUGAAAGAUACCACGAGCCAACUAAAAUCUCUGGCUGAAAAUGUGCUGGACACCAUGCAGUUGGAAGAUUUCACUAGGGACCGCAGUGAUGAGGGGAACUUGGAAGCAGAGCUAAAGAGGAAAGCAGAAAAUGAAGAAACCACCCCCUUAAAAAUUAAGUAAAUUUUUUUAAAGUUAUGUGCAUACAUUCUGUAUAUACAGAAAAGAUAUCUAAAUUGUAUGCACGCAGAAGGAGCAUUGCCCCCACAAGGAACAGUUCAUGCUAAAUGGUGCAGAUGAAGAGACUUUGACAAAGGAAGUUUCCUGAGCUGUGGGCAGGGAUGAGAGCUCAGACAAAUGAUGGGAAGCCUCCCAGAUGCCAAGGUUUCCCACCCCCAGGUUUCAAGGGAGGAGAGAGGAAGUGAUGUCAUCUGAGCCCAGUGAGGCCCUGUCAAGGGACCAGGGAAAACUGCCCCCACUUUUUGCUCCCAUCCUCUCAUUGACUGCAGGUGCACAGGCAGCUGCCUGAAAGAGGGCCUGCGAAGUGCAAGCCAGAGGAGUUGGCCUCCAUGGCACAGAGCAGGCAGAAAACAAAUUUGGAGAAUGACCAGCACUCUUGGGUUUAUUUGACUGAAAGUGCUUGUUU